AGAGUUUGAUCCUGGCUCAGGAUGAACGCUGGCGGCGUGCUUAACACAUGCAAGUCGAACGGAGUAGGUAGCAAUACUUACUCAGUGGCGGACGGGUGAGUAACGCGUGAACAAUCUGCCUAUGUCAGGGGAAUAACACUAAGAAAUUGGUGCUAAUACCGCAUAAGACCACAGAGGGGCAUCCCUCAGGGGUAAAAGAGAUAUCGGACAUAGAUGAGUUCGCGUCCCAUUAGGUAGUUGGUGAGGUAACGGCCCACCAAGCCGACGAUGGGUAGCCGACCUGAGAGGGUGAUCGGCCACAUUGGAACUGAGAGACGGUCCAGACUCCUACGGGAGGCAGCAGUGGGGAAUAUUGGGCAAUGGAGGGAACUCUGACCCAGCAACGCCGCGUGAGUGAAGAAGGUUUUCGGAUUGUAAAACUCUUUAAGCGGGGACGAAGAAAGUGACUGUACCCGCAGAAGAAGCACCGG
rnacentral:rRNA from 1 species